rnacentral:rRNA from 1 species
AGUCGAACGAUGAAGCCCUUCGGGGUGGAUUAGUGGCGAACGGGUGAGUAACACGUGGGCAAUCUGCCCUUCACUCUGGGACAAGCCCUGGAAACGGGGUCUAAUACCGGAUAACACCUGCCCGGGCAUCCGGGUGGGUUAAAAGCUCCGGCGGUGAAGGAUGAGCCCGCGGCCUAUCAGCUUGUUGGUGAGGUAGUGGCUCACCAAGGCGACGACGGGUAGCCGGCCUGAGAGGGCGACCGGCCACACUGGGACUGAGACACGGCCCAGACUCCUACGGGAGGCAGCAGUGGGGAAUAUUGCACAAUGGGCGAAAGCCUGAUGCAGCGACGCCGCGUGAGGGAUGACGGCCUUCGGGUUGUAAACCUCUUUCAGCAGGGAAGAAGCGAGAGUGACGGUA